rnacentral:rRNA from 1 species
GAUGAACGCUGGCGGCGUGCCUAAUACAUGCAAGUCGAGCGAACAGACGAGGAGCUUGCUCCUCUGACGUUAGCGGCGGACGGGUGAGUAACACGUGGAUAACCUACCUAUAAGACUGGGAUAACUUCGGGAAACCGGAGCUAAUACCGGAUAAUAUAUUGAACCGCAUGGUUCAAUAGUGAAAGACGGUUUUGCUGUCACUUAUAGAUGGAUCCGCGCCGCAUUAGCUAGUUGGUAAGGUAACGGCUUACCAAGGCAACGAUGCGUAGCCGACCUGAGAGGGGGAUGGGCAAAAUGGAACCUGAGAAAGGGUCAAAAGUCUAAGGGAGGGAACAGGAGGGAAAUCUUCGGAAAUGGGCGAAAGCCUAACGGAGAAACGCGGGGGGAGUAAUGAAGGUCUUCGAAUCGUAAAACUCUGUAAUAAGGGAAGAAAAAAUGUGUAAGUAACAAUGACGGUCUGAAGGGAACCAAAUAAGAAAGCACCGGCUAACUACGU